rnacentral:lncRNA from 1 species
AUUGUGCCUGUGAGGUAGGAAACCAGAAAUAGUCAGUGAACAUGUGAAUGACUGUUCACUUCCCCACUCCAGGGCCUGCGACCUUGCUGUUCUCUCAUCUUGGUAUGAUGUUCCUUCACCUCUGCACAGAGCUGGCUCCUUUUCAUCCUUUGGUUCUAGAAUUUCCCUUAGAGAACUUCUGUGACUAAUAGCAUUCUUCAAGUGGGAGAGAGCUAAUAAAGAUAGCUGUAACCGACCUGUAUGGUGACUGGAAUAAUAUUCAACAGGGUAACCAGCCUGAAGGUAUCAGGGCUUCGUCUGGGAUCCCAUUCUCCUCCGGGAUCCCCUCUCAUGAGGAGACACGUUCCGCUGCCUCACUGUGGCAGCCUUGGGGGUAAGGAAUUGAGACCCACCGAGUUUGACAAAUAAACCCGGACUCUCAGCAAUGCAGGAUGAAAAGGCCUACAGAUACCACAAUGACCAGGACUCAAGGUCUUCUAGCACAGACUCCACCCCUCGAAUUUCCAGUUCACCAGCGCCAACCUGGAGAUUACGUCCUUGUCAAAAGCUGGAAAGAGGGAAUGCUUGAGCCCUCCUGGGAAGGACCUUACCUGGUGCUCCUCACAACUGAGACUGCAGUCCAAACUGCUGAAAAGGGGUGGACGCAUCAUAUGCGAGUCAAAAAGGCAUCGCCCUCUCCAAAGCCAUGGACCAUUGUCCCAGGGCCAACUCCCACCAGAGUAAUGUUAAAAAGAAAAUAUUAAUCUGUUUCUUCCUCCUUUUCCUCUUCUCCCCAGCUGUCUCACAUCUUAUUCCAAAGCCAAAGAAAGCUAGCCUCUUCAGAAAAGUACUCCCGCACCAAAUGAGCACAGGGCAGUCAUUGGAAGUUCUGUUUUGGUUGGGGAGAUGUGGUCUGAACAAUCAAGUAUCAAGGCUGGACCUCCCCAGGAGGAGGUUGCACUAACCUAAACCCUUACAUCCACUUUACAAAAAAGACAACUCCCUCUAAUUGUCAACUCCAACAAUGUAACCCUGUGCAAAUCUCUAUUACUGUCACCACCUCUACCAACACUAACCCCACUGUAGGUUGCUUCUAUGGCAUAGGAGCUGAUGUUCCUGGAAUAGACCCUAUAGGAUCCUUUGAAAUGCACUUCAUUACUCCUCCACCCUCUUCCCUUCCUCCACCUUCUAAACCUUAUUCCAAUCAAACAGCUGUUCUUUACAUACCCAACGACGAAACUAUAGUAAACAUUGUAGAAGUUAAGGAUUUAAAAGAAACCCUAGCCAUAGAAACUGGGUAUCAAGAUGUAAAUGCCUGGCUGGAAUAGAUUAAAUAUUCUGUUCACACCCUAAAUAAGAGUUAUUGUUACGCUUGUGCCACAGGCAGGCCAGAAACCCAAAUUGUUCGCUUUCCACUUGGAUGGUUCUCCAACCAACAGAGUAUGAGUUGUAUGGUAGCUCUCUUCCAAGACCCUGCAGCUUGGGGCAGUAAGGCAUGCUGAACUCUCUCGCUGCUAUUCUUGGAAGUUUAAGGCCCUGUAGGUCAGCCCCCAAGGGCCUUCCGGCCUCUGGUUAGCAAUGUCAGUUUUACCUUGUGUCUCUCAUGACAAAGGGAAAAUUUAGCAUUCCUUGGAAGCCUAAUGGGAUGCAGUGAGUCCAAGCCUUUUCAGGAGCUAACCAAUCUGUCUGCCCUUGUUCAUCCCCUGGCGGAUGUAUGGUGGUAUUGCGGUGGACCACUGUUGGGUACUCUGCCAAGUAACUGGAGCGGCACUUGCACUGUAGUCCAAUUGGCCAUUCCUUUUACGCUGGCAUUUCAUCAACCAAACAAACAGAAAGGAAAAUUGCAAAAAAUGGAAGGUGCCCCUCAUGGGUCUUUUGAACCUGGCAUUUAUAUAGGUGCCAUCGGAGUUCCAUGAGGGGUACCAAAUGAAUUUAAAGCUCGAAAUCAAGUAGCUGCAGGAUUUGAAUCUGCAUUAUUCUGGUGGUCUACUAUAAACAAAAAUGUAAAUUGGAUAAAUUACAUUUACUAUAAUUGACAGCAAUUUGUCAAUUACAUAAGAGAUGCCAUUAAAGGAAUAGCUGAACAAUUAGGCCCUACCAGCCAAAUGGCCUGGGAAAAUAGAAGAGCCCUUGACAUGAUAUUAGCUGAAAAAGGUACAGUAUAUGUCAUAAUUAGGACCCAAUGCUGUACUUUCAUCCAUAAUAACACCACCCCCUAUGGAACCAUAACAAAGGCUCUACAAAGUCUUACUAUCUUAGCCAAUGAGUUAGGUAAGGUAUUCUGAAAAUUACAGAAUAAACAACCUCUUCACUAAUUUAAUGGGAAAAUGGCUUGGCAAAUGAAAGGGACUCACUCAUGACCUCAGUCCUCACCUCCCUUACAACUGUAAUAGCUGUACUUAUUCUUGUAGGGUGCUGCAUUAUACCCUGUGUCUGCGGAUUGGUGCAAAAACUUAUUGAAACAGCUCUCACUAAAACCUUCUCCAAUUCUCCCCCACCAUAUUUAGAUAAGCUGUUACUCUUAGAAAAUCAAGAAGAACAACAAAGCCAAAAUAUGUUAGACAAAUUUGAAAAGGAAGAAUUAUAAAAAUCAAAGGUGGGGGAAAUUGCAAGGUACAGUGAGUUCCUCUUCAAAGGUUUAGCUUGUUCAACUUCUUUGUUCUUUGUUCCUAAAAACAACUCCCUUGUACCUCCUUGCCCCUAGUUACCUGCUUAGUUAACUGCUUUGUAAACAACUCUUCCCGCCAGCCUCGACCUGUAACUUAUAUCCCCCUUCCCUUUCUUAUUUGGGAAAAUAUUCACAAACAGCCAAUCGGGUCAGCUUAGAUUGUGUGGUCUGACCCCAGCCCAUGUGGGGAGUGACACAGAGGUAGGGACUGCAUUAGGGAUAAAAACUCCUCUCUUUUCUUUGGGGUGCUCUAGGAGUAGCCAAAACUAUGAGCAGCACCCUUCUGCAGAAGUACAUUUUGCCUUGCUGAGAAGUUCUCUGUUUGAGUGCUCGUUCUCUUGGCGACUCUGACCUUUUAUUUCCAAUAUUAAUAUGGUUAGCAUUAAUGUGUGUGAUUAAAACUACACACAUUAAUGUAAAACUACUACAUUAAUGUGUGUGAUUAAAACUACUAAAACUACAUUAAUGUGUGUGAUUAAAACUACUAAAUAAGAUAAAUAAUUUCAUCUGCAAAGGGUACAAGAAAAACAAGAUAUAUUUUUGGGAAGAAAGAUUAUAAAGAAGAUAUAAAAAUGUGAUUUUUGUUAAAAGAAAAAAAUUUCCCAUUUUAGAGAUGACUUAAAUAUUGUUUUAAAAUGAAGGAAUAAAUUUAAAAAAUAGAGAUAAAACUAAAUGAAUAUUGAAAGCUAAAAUGUAAAAGAAAAUCUUGUGUGGUUAAACUGACUCAGGUUAAAUGAAUGUAUUAUAAGUGUUUUCAAAAUUGAGCCUUAAUAUCAAAAGUAUACCAAUAUAAAACUAAAAUUCAGUUUUCUCUUUUAAAUAAUAUCUUUUUGUAGUAAUAAUAAGAGAGCAAAAGACUUUCAUUCACCUUUUGAGUGAACUACAAAAAACAAAAAAGGGGUAGGGGAGAGAAAGGGAAAAAGAUUUUGUGUGUUUUCUGCUGUCUUUAUUAGGUCUUUUGAUUAUUUGGAAAAUUGAGUGUCUAUCAAACAGUGAAGGUUUUUUCUUUCUCAAAUCUUUUGGUUAUUAUUUUGGCUAAAUGAAGAAUUAUUAUCAUGGCCUGUGAUCCUAUUUUGAUCAAUUAUUUUAAACCUCUGACAUAUUUGACUGACUUUCCAAAAUCAAAAUUCAAAAUCAAAAUGAAGUCUUUUUGACCUCAAACUAACUUUGGAUGUCCCAGAGGGCCCCUGAAGCAUCUAAAAAAGAGAAAAUAAAAUAAACAAAGAUAAUAAAUGAAGGCAUAUCUGAUAUGUUAAAUUACACAAGUAGCACUGUCUUGUAACAGGAAAGAAUGUUUAACCUUUUUUUUGAAUUAUGUUUCUAUGGAUAUGCUAUUAAUACAUGUUCCAAACUUGUAUGAGAUUCCUAAAAUUCUGAUAUGUCUUGAUGUAUAUUAUCAGUCAUAAUUAUUACUAUUAUAUAAAAUUAUUACAGGCCACAGGAAUAACCAAAUUUCCUUGUCAAUCGCAUCUUUAACCAUGACUGUUUUAAGUCUACUUGUACAC